CUCUCCCUCUCCCUCUCCCUCUCUGUCUGUCUGUCUGUCUGUCUGUCUCUCUCUCUCUCUCUCUCUCUCUCACACACACACACACACACACUCACACACACCACAGUGGUGUGUAGAAAGGCUUCCUUGAUCCUUGCCAUGCAGGUAGAAGGCAGGUCCACAGGGCCUCCUUGCUUCUCUUAGACCUGGGAAAGGAGAAUGCCACGAGCCAGAAAACCUCAGACAGAUGCUACCUCCAAACCAAGGGGCCCCCGAAAACCAACUUCUCAGCUGCCUGGGGAGCGGAGAUUACCGCGUCAAGAGCCCACAGACGUGGUGUCUAAGAUGAGCUCUUCAGUCUGUCAGCUGUGGUCUGGCCUCUGGACCUGGAUUCCUACCCCCGAAGCGUACAGGCGCCUCCCGCACUGUAUUGUUAUGGGGACCGACCGGAUAGCAGAUUAGAGGGGCUGAUCGGGACAUCUGCGGGUCGGCGCUUCAUUUCGUAUGCGCUGAUGAAAAUCUGUCCCGCUCACUUUUUUUUUUUUUUAUUUUUAAGCUGGAACGGUGUUUUGAGAAGAACGUGCGUCGUGCGUGAGGGAGGGAGAGGCAUCAAACCGUGUAGCCGUCUGAUAGGUCAGAGGGAGCAAGCCGACCCAGGCAGGCAUUCCAGCUGGCACUAGGCUCUCACGGUCAGCAGCCCACUUCGAAGCUUCCAUCUUUGCCUGACAAGGGAGGAAACGAAGCCCGCCUUGUGAAUACUCUGGGGGCAAAACAUGAUGAUGUUAAGUACCUUUCUCCUCUCUUUCCCUCUGGAUCCAGGGACGGAGACUCAGCUCUCAUUCCUGGUUGGCUCUACCAGCCACACCCCCAUCCCACUGGGGAAUUCUAGGAAGCGCUCUACCAUUGGACGGCCAGUCCUUUCUAACCAUAUUCGCGCACAUACAAUUUGUUUUGACUAUCUUAAA